rnacentral:rRNA from 1 species
AUACGUAGGUGGCAAGCGUUGUCCGGAUCUACUGGGCGUAAAGGAUGCGUAGGCGGAUGUUUAAGUGAGAUGUGAAAUCCCUAAGCUUAACUUAGGUGCUGCAUUUCAAACUGGAUAUCUAGAGUGCAGGAGAGGAGAAUGGAAUUCCUAGUGUAGCGGUGAAAUGCGUAGAGAUUAGGAAGAACACCAGUGGCGAAGGCGAUUCUCUGGACUGUAACUGACGCUGAGGCAUGAAAGCGUGGGUAGCAAACAGGAUUAGAUACCCUGGUAGUCCACGCCGUAAACGAUGAGUACUAGGUGUAGGAGGUCUAAGCCUUCUGUGCCGCAGUUAACACAAGAAGUACUCCGCCUGGGAAGUACGAUCGCAAGAUUAAA